AUGUAGCAUCUAUNAACCCCGUCGCGAACUGCGAUACUUCCUGNGAAUUNCAGAAUUCAGUGAAUCAUCGCAUCUUUGACCGCAUAUUGCG
rnacentral:rRNA from 1 species